GAUGAACGCUGGCGGCGUGCCUAAUACAUGCAAGUCGAGCGAACAGACGAGGAGCUUGCUCCUCUGACGUUAGCGGCGGACGGGUGAGUAGCACGUGGAUAACCUACCUAUAAGACUGGGAUAACUUCGGGAAACCGGAGCUAAUACCGGACAAUAUAUUGAACCGCAUGGUUCAAUAGUGAAAGACGGUUUUGCUGUCACUUAUAGAUGGAUCCGCGCCGCAUUAGCUAGUUGGUAAGGUAACGGCUUACCAAGGCGACGAUGCGUAGCCGACCUGAGAGGGUGAUCGGCCACACUGGAACUGAGACACGGUCCAGACUCCUACGGGAGGCAGCAGUAGAGAAUCUUCCGGAAUGGGCGAAAGCCUGACGGAGCAACACCGCGGGAAUGAUGAUGGUCUUCGGAUCGUAGAACUCUGUUAUUAGGGAGGAACAAAAGUGUAUGUAACUAUGCACAUCUUGACGGUACCUAAUCAGAAAGCCACGGCUAACUACGUG
rnacentral:rRNA from 1 species